CCAUCGCCUCUUUAAGUAAAAGCAAAGCAGAGUAUUUAUAUUAGGGUAUGUAACAGAACUCGGUUACAAGGGAAAACCGAAUACAGCAACUACUUUAACAGAAAAACCUAAUUGACUACACUUAUGACUUAGCGAUCCGAGUCAUUGAUUCUUUGAGCAUCUCGUUCAUUGAUUGUCGAUCCAGGCUGGUCUUCCUUAUAAGAUCUUUGCCGUUGAUUUACCCCUAUGACUAUGACUUAGCGAUCCAAGUCAUUUGCUGUAUCACCAAGUCCUCUGCUUUCGCUGUAUUGCCAAGUCCUCUGUUUCCAUUUUUCUGCAGCAUAUUUUGUUCCUUUAUACUUAACAUCCCCCCGCAAAUUGGGAAGGGGGAUGAAUCCCAUUCCCAAUUUGGUGCGAAGAGACAGAUGAGCUGAGUGAAAGAGGGACUUAGUGAAUAUGUCAGCUACUUGAAGAUGACUGGGAACAUGUUGGAUAGAAAUGGAACCAGACGACACCUUUUCACGAACAAAAUGGAAGUCAACUUCUAUGUGCUUUGUUCGCGCAUGUAAGACAGGAUUGGCUGUGAGGGAAAUAGCUGAUUUAUUAUCACAAAACAAUGAUGUAGCUUUUGUAAGAGGAAUACCAAUGUCACGUAGAACAAAACCAAUCCAAGUUAAUUCAGCUGUUGUAGAUGCUAGAGCCCGAUAUUCAGCUUCUGUGGAAGACUUUGAAACAGUAGUUUGUUUCUUGGCUGACCAGGAAAUCAAGUUAGAACCUAAGAAAGUGCAGAAUCCUAUAGUAGAUCGUCGAGUAGUAGGACAACCUGCCCAAUCAACAUCUGAAAAACCAUAGAGAUUUGUCAAACUGUUGGAGUGAAGAUAAUAUCCAAGAUGAACAGUUCCUUUUACAUAUCGUAAAACUCGUUUUAAUUGAUGAAAGUCUGCCAUUGUGGGAUGUUGCAUCUUCUGACAGAGGAGAUUUGUUGCAAAUGCUAGAUCUGGUCGAGUGAUAGUUAAGUAUUGAAGACCACCUACCAAGCUUCUGUAUUCAAUAGGAUCUAGCAUAGGGACUUCAGCAUUGGUCAUAGCAAUUGGCCGUAGUGGCAAAGGUGUGGAAAUUGGUUUGCAAUCUAUCAUAUGUGCCCGUUUGAGUAGGUCAACUGCAUAUUUUGUUUGACAUAAGAACAAGGUCUGUAGAGUACGUUUCACUUCAAUGCCUAAGAAGUAGUGAAUAUAGCUGAGAUCUUUCAUUUGAAAUUGAAGACUAAGAUUCUGGAUUAAUGUAGUUAAGAGCUGAGGAGAGCUUCUUGUUAGAAUGAUAUCAUCAACAUAAAGAAGUAAUAAUACUGUAUCCGACUCAGUAUGGAGCACGAACAAAGAUGGAUCGGCUGUACUACAGACAAAACCAAUUUCAAGAAGAUAGUUGCUGAAUUUGUCAAACCAGGCUCUUGGUGCUUGUCGAAGUCCAUAUAAUGACUUGUGAAGAAGACAGACAUGGCUUGAUUUUUGAGGAUGAAUGAAGCCAGGUGGAUGUUCCAUAUAAACAGUUUCAUUUAAGUCUCCAUGAAGAAAUGCAUUCUUCACAUCAAGUUGGUGUAUUGUCCAUUGUCUUGUGAGAGCUAUAGAGAGUACUAUGCAUAUUGUAGCAUGUUUGACAACAGGACUGAAUGUCUCAGUAAAAUCAAGUCCUGCUUCCUGAUGGAAUCCUUUGGCUACCAGACGAGCCUUGAGUCUCUCUAGACUACCAUCUGGUGCGAGUUUGGUCUUAAAGACCCACUUACAGCCUACAACAUUCAUCUAGUCUGUUCUUGGAACUAAUGUCCAGGUAUGAUUAUUAUAGAGAGCAUUCAUCUCUUCUUGCAUUGCAUUGUACCAACCCUUAUCAGCUAAUGCAGACUUAAUGGAUCUUGGUUCCAUAGGGACUCGAUAUUCAGCCAAGCAAGCAUAUUUUGGAUUUGGCUUAAUAAUACAUGAUCUGAGUCGGGUCUGCAUAGGAUGAUUACUAAAAUUUCUCUGAGAAGAAGAUAGAUCAAGAGUAUGUUGUUCUAUGUCAGGAGAAGAUAGUUCAAGAGUAUGUUGUUCUGUGUCAGAACUAUUAUUGACAAGCAGAGUACUUGAGAAGGAUGAAGAAUUCUGACCAGAUCGAGUUUCUGUGAUAGCAUCAUUUUGCCUUGAUGUUAGUGGAGUAUCUUGGAGCUGCAUUGAUGCUGAUGAAGUAUGUUGGUGCAUCUGUUCACUGUCAUAACUAUCCAUAGUAGGAUGAUAGUGACUUCUUCUUACUGACUGAUGGGAAACACUUUGAUUUGUUGUGUCAGAGCUUGAGGAUUCGAGCAAUUUUACUCAUUCAAUCCAUUGUCUAUACAAAGGAGUAUAUUGACCAUAUUCAUUGAUCACAGUUUUUGUGAAGGGAAACAACGUUUCAUCGAAGAUAACAUGUCUACUGAUAUAUAUACGAUUAUCAGUAGGCACAAGACAUCUAUAGCCUUUAUGCAUAUCACUAUAUCCUAGAAAAACACAAGUAAGGGAUCUAGGAUCGAACUUGUGUUUUGAAUAUGAUCUUAAGCAUGGAUAACAGGCACAGCCAAACACCCUCAAAUGAUCAUAUUGUGACUGAGUGUUAUGAAUCUUACUAUAUGGUGUAUCCAUUUUUAGUUUUGGUGUUGGAAGUCUGUUUAUAAUGUAGUUUGCCGUAACAAAAGCAUCCACCCAAAACUUCAGUGGGAGCUUGGAGUGAUAUAACACAGCCAAUCCCAAUUCGACAAUAUAUCUAUGUUUCCUUUCUGAGACUCCAUUCUGUUCGGGAGUGUGAGGACAAGAUAGAUGUUGUUUUAUUCCACAGCUUUGCAGAUGAUCUUGAAAUCUUCUACUUACAAACUCUCCCCCUCCAUCACUUUGGAAAAUUUUGAUCUUGUGACUGUAUUGUCUUUCAAUUAACGUCUGGAAUCGAAUAAAGAUAUCAAAGAACUCAGAUUUCAACUUCAUUGGAUAUAACCAACUGUAUCGUGAGAAACUGUCAACAAAAAUCACAUAGUAUCUAAACUUUUGAAAUGAAUCUACUGGUGACGGCCCCCAAAUAUCACAAUGGAUCAUUUCUAAUGAUGAAGUUGAUAUAGAGUUUGACAAAGGAAAUGAUAGAGCUGUACUUUUUGCUAUUUGACAGCUGCUGCAAAUUUUUGAAGGAACUGAAUUAACAUGAAUCAGUUUAUGAUGAUGUAGAUAAUCCACUAUUUGAGUAUUGGCAUGAGCCAGUCUUUGGUGCCAUACUUCUGCAUUGACUGUUCUCUGACUUUGAGUGAAAAAGGCUGCUGCAGUCCGUGUAUCGACUUGAUAAAGGCCCUUAGUCUUCCUUCCGAGCUGAAUUGUCGCCUUGGUAUUGUUGUCCUUUACAUAAACACCAAGUUUAUCAAAGAUAAAUGUGCAAGGAUAGUCAUCAGUAAGCUUAGACACAGAAAGAAGAUUCUUCUUUAUUUAUGGUACUAUAAGAACAUCGUUAAGAGGUAAUGUAUUUACUUCUGUUUUUAGGUAAGUGUUACCAAUAUGUGUAACAGGUAAACAAGAUCCAUUUCCAACCAUCACUGUAUCGAGACCUUGAUAUUUAGAAAAAGUAUGAAGGAUACCAGGAUUCGCACUGAUAUGAGCAGUAGCUCCUGUAUCAGGGUACCAUUCACUUCCUUUUGGAUCUUCGAUAUGAAUUGCUGUCAGGGCUGCUGGAAUAUCCUCUACUUGAUAGGAAUUGUCAAAACGGUACCAACAGCGGAGAGCAUCAUGCCCAGGUCGCUUACAUAUUUGACAUUCCAAUCUAGCAAUCCCUGUGUCUUUCUCAUCCUGCAAACUUUUUCCUGAGUUUAACAGAGGAGGAUAAGAUUUGUUGUUUUGAUACCUUUGAGAGUAUGUGGCAUAAGGUCGAAAUCCCUGAGCAGCUAUAGGAAAGACAUUCUUUUGUCUUAGAUAUUGAUCUCCUUGCCCUUGAAUUGCUGCAUCUUCUUUGUAAUUUUGAUUUCUUUCAGCAUAACCAAACCCUCGUCCUCUAUUACUGACAGUUCUGCCUCGACCAAAGCUACAGCCACCCCUAUAACUUCCUCUCUGAGCUAGAAAACCAGUAGGUUGUGAAAGAUAUUCUCCAUCAGCACUCUCUUUAGGAUACAUUUGAGACUUUCUUUGGCCGAGAUAGGCCAGACUGGGAUUAAACUGACUUCUGGAGUAAGUCUUCAUUCUUGAUUCAAAUCUCUCCAGUUGAGCUAUAACUUCAUCAUAAUCGGGUUGAGGCUUCAAACAAUAUAUGGUGGUUCGAAGAUUCUCAUAUUCUGGACCCAAUCCUUCCAGUAUACCAAAGAUUUUGGUUAUUUCAUCCACUGGUUUACCUUGCAUUCAACUGAUCACAUAUAGAUUUGUAUUCUCUGAGAUAAGUGGAGAGGGUUUGAUCAAGUUUCUAGCAGGACUGUAAUUUUCCUCUAAGUUCGAACUCCUUUGCUAUUGAUUUUUGAGUAAAUCGUUUUAGAAGAGACUGCCAUACCUCAAAGGAUGUCUCUAAACUAAUGAUUAGACUCAGAAUGUUCUCAGUAACAGCCCCACUAAUCCAUGACGAUAUCAACUGAUCUGUUCUUGUCCAAUCAACGUAAUCAGGAUUAACAAGUUCUGAGUCACAUCCUUCAUCAUCGUUUUGCAACAUUUAUGGAGGAGAGGCAACAUCACCAUUAACAAAACCAAAGAGAUCUUGACUCUUCAGAAACCUUUGAAUUUGAGCUUGCCACAACAGAAAAUUAUCUUCGGCGAGCUUAAUUGUGACAAAAUUCGAGAUGUUUAUGUGAAUUGGAAAAGGAUAUUUUGGUGUUUUUAUUGCCAUUGCCGCAAACUUCCAGUUCAAACCAAGCUAUCAGACAAACAGCCUACAGCUCUGAUACCAUGAGAAAGAUGAAGAACUCAAACAAGAUCAAGCGGUCAACUCUGAAGAUCAUUUGUAUUUCAAUAUGGUGAUUGUAUCAUUGUAACUCAGUACAAUUGAAAGGUAGAAAAAACUAAUACACUUCUUAUGUUCUAUCUUCUAAGAUCAAUCUUACUUGAUUUGCUUCAGCACUUUGGACUUGAGCUGUCAACCAUUCUUCGAAACUCUCUCUUCAAUACAAGGAUUGCUUCAGCAUUCGCUGAUGAUCUUGAUUCACUUUUCUCUAUUCUCUCACCUUCUCUGUAUUCUUUCUAUCUGUUUUCCCCCAUCGCCUCUUUAAGUAAAAGCAAAGCAGAGUAUUUAUAUUAGGGUAUGUAACAGAACUCGAUUACAAGGGAAAACCGAAUACAGCAACUACUUUAACAGAAAAACCUAAUUGACUACGCUUAUGACUUAGCGAUCCGAGUCAUUGAUUCUUUGAGCAUCUCGUUCAUUGAUUGUCGAUCCAGGCUGGUCUUCCUUAUAAGAUCUUUGCCUUUGAUUUACCCCUAUGACUAUGAC
rnacentral:lncRNA from 1 species